UCCCAUGGCCGACAAUAUUUUCUCAGUUGCCACUUUCCAACAAACACUCUGCACUCCCAUGGCUGAUGAGACCCCAAAGGCCACUCCACAGCCUCUCACUCCCUUCUCCGCUGUGGUGCCCGCCCCUUUUCUUAGACUUCUCUUCCGCCACCAUCUACGGCGUCGCUUUCUUCAUCCUCAAAUCCCCUCACGUGGGUCAACUUUUUUUUGAUACUCGUUCCCAUUCCAUUCACCAAGCCCUUUCUCCUAUUACCCUUUCCCCUCUCCCUUUCUCUCUUUCCUCUCCACCUGACCCUAUCAAUGGAACCCUAAGAUCCGAGAAGAGAUGUUAGACCGGAAAGCUUCACUUAGAAGAGCAAUAGCAGAAGCAUCUCUUUCUGAUGGUAUCUCAUGGGUAAGCUUUGACCAGAAAAAGGCAAAAUCAAUUAGGGAUUCUAGAAAAGUCGCCCUCUACAAGAUUCAAUAUCGGGGUUGAAUUUCAGAGAUUAUAUGACAUUUUUGUUACUGUUUUUGGUAUUGUUCUCCUUAUGCAACUGUAUAAAGAUGAACCAAGUAUUAUGAAGUACAUAAAGAUUGCAGCUACCUUGCCUGAUAAAACUGUACGUAAAGAUUUCUCAUCUUAAUUUGAUGAGAAAUGUUCAAAACCCUAUUGUGAUUGAUCAAAAUUAUUGCCCUCACAGCGAAAAUUGCCCGGGUCAGGUUUCAGGAAUAAAGAUUAAAGAUAUCAGCUUUCUUAAUUCCUUACAUGGCAAUCCGGUUGAACGAAGCUGAUGCAGAUAGCCGUCCUAGCCAGCUUUCUCGUCUAGGCUCCGUAAUGACAAAUGGUGCAGCCGUAGUGGGAUUAAUUGGUGGGGCUGUAUGUGUGUUUUCUGCAAUAUGGGCUCUUUAUGGUCGAAUGGACGGUGAGUUUGUAAACAUAACAGACAGUUGGCAGUUCUUGGUAAGUUAUUUAGGUUCAGAAAGACUGGCUUAUGCCUUCAUUUGGGACAUAUGUUUAUACACAGUCUUCCAGCCUUGGUUUAUUGGUGAGAACCUACAAAAUGUUGAGAAAAGCAAAGUUGGUGUAGUGAGUUAUCUUAGAUUUAUCCCUGUGGUUGGCUUAGUUGCCUAUCUUCUCUUUUUAAAUCUUGAGGAGGACCAAUAGUCUGUCUGCUGCAGUAAUUUGUAGCUCUAUUUGUUAUAAAAAGAACAAACGAAAUUGUCCCGGUUUUUGCUUUUGGUGAAUUAAACUCAGAUGAAGUUCAAAGAGCAGCUGAAGCUUUUGGCAUCUAUUUCUUGUGCAUAUUUCUGGAGAAAAAUGUAAGUACCGCAAUUGCAAAGACUUCUUUUCUUCAUUCCUGAAUUUUAACUAGCAACCAACCACUGAAGAGUUUACAAAUCCAGGCUAGAUCAAAAUAAAUAUGGAUAGAGUUCACAUAAUUUCAUCGCAUUUGCGCAUAAUGAGACCUAAAUCUAGGCAACUCUCCUAAAAACUUCACUGACAGAACGGGUUUUUACCAUAAUACAUUAAUAGUCAGGUGAAAAUGAGUUGGACCAUUUUUAUAAAAAUGUUUUUAUAAAACUGUACGUGAUGUUCCAUUGAGGUGUUGGUGGAUGCAAGUAAGCUCAUUACUUCUUUAAUGAUGCAUUUCUUCCAUUAUUUGUUCUAUUUUUUAUUUUCUUGUAUCACGUGAUUUACUGUGUAUGAAAAAUUGGUCCGCAAAUUAUUAGUUUUGGCAUUGACUGCAGCAAGUGUGACUCAAUUGAUCUGUUAAUGUGCUUUUGUUCUUUUUAAUUCUUAGACAUCAUAUUUGUGCAUUUAAAAUCAUCUAUGAGAAUCUCUUUGUCCAUAGAAUGUUCUGUCUGUACUGCUCCCUGGGCCCUAAGAGUAUUGUCUUAACUAUGAGAAUCUCUUUUCUUGUUCCUCUACUUUCUUCUCAUCAUAGUUUCGGCAAUAACUUGUAUUAAUACAAGUAAAGAAGUUAAUAUAAAAUAUUAGUCAAUUAUCUUAUUUCAGAUUAAUACCUUUUAAAACAAGUUCUAUCUUUUAACAUAGAAAACUAAAUUAAUGCUUGAUUUUUAGGUUAUAAUGUAUGGAUGCAUGGGUCUCAGUUAUCAUUAAAAAUAAUAAUAUUAUACAUCAUCAUUAUUAAAUAAAAUAAAAUUUAUCAAUAAUUUUAUUUAAUGUAACCAAAUAUAAUUAUUACAAAUAAAUACUAAUAUUAGAAACUUUAAAUUAUUGUCUAUUGGUUGAGUGUUCACUUUUUCUUGAGACCAAAUCAUUAUUAUACAUAAAAGAAACAUCUUAAAAUCUCAUGUUUAUGUUUGGGCAAUUAUGAAACAUUAGAUAUUAAAGGUACUAAAGCUAUAAUUUUCCUGCGUCUUUGUACACCAACCAUUUGCAAGGCUCAUUAGAUAUUAAAGGUACUAAAGCUAUAAUUUUCCUUAUAAUUGUUUCAUCUUCACUAUAUAGUUAUGUCUGCAGGAGAAUAUAAUUUCUAGAAACAUGCCCUUCAACUAUGUUUGAUGUUAUACUUUUUGUGCAAACAUUUUCCCUGAUUGUUUUGUAAAUAAAAUGAAAACUUAAACUCCUGUGUUUGUUAGAUUUUUUGUGCAGACAAAAUUUCCUGGAUUGUUUGUACAGGAAAUGAGAACUUGGACUCUUAUUCUUUUCCUGCUUUGGCUUUAUGCUCAUUUUUCCAGUAGACUUGAUGCAAAUAUGGCCAUGAGAAUUUAGGCUCUUAUUGGUUGUCACUUUUACUCCUUCGUUUCUGUAGUUGAUUUUGCUUCCUAAAAGGUUGCUAAAAAAUAAAUCUAAAAGAGAGAAGCAAAGUCGUAAUUGAUUGAGAACAUAUAAAUGACUAGAAUACUAUAAAAUUUCUAGUAUGAUUGUUCACGACCAGCUUGUUGUGAAAGCAUUUGUUUGCUAUUUCCCCGUUCAUUUUUAUUCUAUAGUUAAGUUGCUAAUUUUAUUUUCUUAUCUACCUGUGUAUCUGAAUGAUGUUUUAUGAAUAUAGCCAUGCUUCCAAUAAUGUGUUAGAUGCGUUGAACAUGUUUGAUGGAACUGAUGGUUAUUACUUCCAUACGGAGUCAAGGGGUCACCACUCGGUGUGGGAUUCUCGCCUUUUUAAUUAUGGAAGCUGGGAAGUACUGAGGUAUCUUCUUUCAAAUGCAAGAUUGUGGCUGGAGGAGUACAAGUUUGAUGGGUACAGAUUUGAUGGUGUAUUAUAUCUUUGAUUUCCUUGAUUAAGUAAAUGUAUUAUAUCUUUUAUUACUAAGAUUUACUUGAUUAAGAAAAUGCAUUGUAUGUUUUAUUACCUUGCAUAUGUAUUAUUUAUUUUAGUUUUGAUUCUAAAUUUUUAUUUUUACUUAAGAGUUCUAACUUUUGGAUUUUAA